GCUUGGGUAGCUCAGUUGGUAGAGCACUUGCCCGUGAAAGGCAAAGGUCCCGAGUUCGAGUCUCGGUCCGGCACGCA
rnacentral:tRNA from 1 species